CACUUCAAAUGACCUCCUGAAAUUGGAAUGGUUCACAGAUCAAUAUCUGGUCAGAUCUGACUUUGUCGAAUUAAACCAGGAGCUUGGAAACGAAUUUUUGAAUGAAACCAACUGGGGGGUACUUAGCUUGUGCCAUGGUGAUACCGAGAGAGGCAAUUGCUAAGUUGUGAUACUCUCAUACCUUUACUAGAUGCGAACAAUUCCAGAGAAGAAGAAGAAGUGGAAUCAGACGAGGAUUUUUUUUAUUUAUGUUGUUGGGAUUCUUAUAUUGAUGGAGUUGAAGAAGUCCAGUGACAAAUAAGCCAA